rnacentral:rRNA from 1 species
UACGGGGGGAGCAAGCGUUGUUCGGAUUUACUGGGCGUAAAGGGCGCGUAGGCGGUAGCACAAGUCAGUUGUGAAAUCUCCGGGCUUAACUCGGAAAGGUCAACUGAUACUGUGCGACUAGAGUGCAGAAGGGGCAACUGGAAUUCUCGGUGUAGCGGUGAAAUGCGUAGAUAUCUGGAGGAACACCGGUGGCGAAGGCGGCUCACUGGCCCGGUACUGACGCUGAGGUGCGAAAGCGUGGGGAGCAAACAGG